AGCAGCCGCGGUAAUUCCAGCUCCAAUAGCGUAUAUUAAAGUUGUUGCAGUUAAAAGCUCGUAGUUGAAUUUUUGAUUCUGCCAAUUGGUCCAUCUUUUAGAUGAGUACUGGUUGUGUGGGGUCUAUCCGCCUGGUGAUACGUAAUGUCCUUUAUUGGAUGUUGCGGGUAGUCAGGACCUUUACCUUGAAAAAAUUAGAGUGUUUAAAGCAGGCUUAUGCCGGAAUACAUUAGCAUGGAAUAAUAGAAUAGGACGAAGUUGUUUUAUUUUGUUGGUUUCUAGGACAACCGUAAUGAUUAAUAGGGAUAGUUGGGGGCAUUAGUAUUCAAUUGUCAGAGGUGAAAUUCUUGGAUUUAUUGAAGACUAACUACUGCGAAAGCAUUUGCCAAGGAUGUUUUCAUUAAUCAAGAACGAAAGUUAGGGGAUCGAAGACGAUCAGAUACCGUCGUAGCCUUAACCAUAAACUAUGCCGACUAGGGAUCGGGCGAUGUUGUUUCCAUGACUCGCUCGGCACCUUAUG
rnacentral:misc_RNA from 1 species